UGAGGAAUAUUGGUCAAUGGGCGCAAGCCUGAACCAGCCAAGCCGCGUGCAGGAAGACUGCCCUAUGGGUUGUAAACUGCUUUUAUACGGGAAUAAGAAUUUAUACGAGUUAUAGGUUUUGCAUGUACUGUAUGAAUAAGCAUCGGCUAACUCCGUGCCAGCAGCCGCGGUAAUACGGAGGAUGCAGGCGUUAUCCGGAUUUAUUAGGUUUAAAGGGUGCGUAGGCGGCAAUAUAAGUCGGAGGUGAAAUCUUACAGCUUAACUAUAAGUUUGCCUUCGAUACUGUAGUGCUAGAGUACGAACGAGGUAGGCGGAAUGUGCAGUGUAGCGGUGAAAUGCAUAGAUAUUGCACAGAACAUCGAUUGCGAAGGCAGCUUACUAGGCCGUAACUGACGCUGAUGCACGAAAGCGUGGGGAUCAAACAGG
rnacentral:rRNA from 1 species